rnacentral:rRNA from 1 species
GACGAACGCUGGCGGCGUGCCUAAUACAUGCCAGUAGAACGCACGGUUUAUACCGUAGCUUGCUACACCAUAGACUGUGAGUUGCGAACGGGUGAGUAACGCGUAGGUAACCUGCCUGGUAGCGGGGGAUAACUAUUGGAAACGAUAGCUAAUACCGCAUAAUAUUAAUUAUUGCAUGAUAAUUAAUUGAAAGGUGCAAUUGCACCACUACCAGAUGGACCUGCGUUGUAUUAGCUAGUAGGUGAGGUAACGGCUCACCUAGGCGACGAUACAUAGCCGACCUGAGAGGGUGAUCGGCCACACUGGGACUGAGACACGGCCCAGACUCCUACGGGAGGCAGCAGUAGGGAAUCUUCGGCAAUGGACGAAAGUCUGACCGAGCAACGCCGCGUGAGUGAAGAAGGUUUUCGGAUCGUAAAGCUCUGUUGUAAGAGAAGAACGGGUGUGAGAGUGGAAAGUUCACACUGUGACGGUAUCUUACCAGAAAGGGACGGCUAACUACGUG